rnacentral:misc_RNA from 1 species
GGGACGUCCCAAGUGUAUCAUAUAUAUAUCGCCUGUUGUAAGGACAACAGUCUUGCAUCUCGCGUGAUAUUAGAAAAACAAUAAUGGCUGCUAUGUGGGAGUGGAUUCGGAGCACUUUUUGGAGUGAAUGGUUUUGGUUGCCUCCGCAGCAUAGCUGGAAGGAUUUGGUUAACCGUGAUGAUGGAAUUUAUCUACCACAAGUGUCCGAUAUGCUUGUCACCGUGCCUCUUACAGUGUUGAUGCUCGUAUUGCGAGCGCUAUUCGAAAGAUACAUUGCAGGACCCAUAGGUCGGUAUUAUGGUCUCAAGGCAGACGGGGCCAAGCAUGUCGUACCGAACCCUUAUCUCGAGAAAAUAUUUGGACAAAAUAAAACACCAGAUAAAAAUUCGUUUUUGAGCAUAUCAAAACAAACAGACCUGAGCGUGAGGCAGGUUGAAAGAUGGUUCAGGAUAAGACGAAUGCAGAGCCGAACCAUUGUUCUCUAUAGAUUUACAGAAUCAAGUUGGAGGUUUUUGUUCUAUCUGGUCAUAUUUUGGUAUGGAUUGAUAGUGCUGUGGGAUAAAAGCUGGUUAUGGGACACCAUGGAGUGUUGGAUAGGAUAUCCACGCCAUCAUAUCUCCCCAGAAAUCUAUUGGUACUAUGCAGUGGAAGCAUCCUUCUACCUCUCACUUUUAAUUACACAGUGUAAAGAUGUCAAAAGAAAGGAUUUCGCUGAGAUGUUUAUCCACCACGUGGUAACACUUAGCCUCAUGUUCCUAUCAUGGUCGCAGAAUAUUGUGAGAUUUGGGACACUCAUCCUCGUCUUGCAUGAUGCUGUGGACUCCUUGUUGGAGGCAGCCAAGAUGGCCAAGUACCUGAAAUGGCAAAAAACAACAGACGCAGUUUUUGUCAUAUUUCUACUCGUUUGGGUCAUCACAAGAAUGAUUCUAUUACCAUAUAAGUUGAUUUACACUGCAAUGUUCGAGUCUACGACCAUUGUGGGCUUCUGUGCAAUAUACUUCUUAUACAAUGGCCUGCUCAUCGUCCUGCAGAUUCUGCACAUAUUCUGGUUCGUCAUUAUCAGCAAGAUGGCAUACUCCGCCCUGAAAAAAGGAAAACCCAAGCUGAUAGCGGAGAGUCAUGUCUUUCAUAGACUUGUCAUUGUAUUUGGUGGUAGUUAAGGCUACACUUCCACAUACAAAUUUGGCAUGAUAAUCACCUGUAUGAGAAUAGUGCAUCAUGGGAGAUUGCAAAGGAUGACAGAAGUUCAAGCGAUGAAGAAAUAUCGGAGGAUGAUGUUACCAAUCACAAGUCUGAUCAUGUAGCUAAUGGCAACAAUCUAACCAAUGAUAGCAGAGAAAAAUAUUUGUCAACCAA